AGAGAGGGCGGGGGGAAGGAAGAGGAGGCGGGAUCCCGGCUCUGCGUUGGCUGCGGCCUGGCACGAAAGGGGCGGCCCCGGCCGAGAGCAGACCUAGUGGCCUCGGCGAUUAUGGACCCGGCUGAGGCGGUGCUGCAGGAGAAAGCACUCAAGUUUAUGUGCUCUAUGCCCAGGUCUCUGUGGCUGGGCUGCUCCAGCCUGGCGGACAGCAUGCCUUCGCUGCGAUGCCUGUAUAACCCAGGGACUGGCGCACUCACAGCUUUCCAGAAUUCCUCAGAGAGAGACGACUGUAAUAAUGGAGAACCCCCUAGGAAGAUAAUACCAGAGAAGAAUUCACUUAGACAGACUUACAAUAGCUGUGCCAGACUCUGCUUAAACCAAGAAACAGUAUGUCUAGCAAGCACUGCUAUGAAGACUGAAAAUUGUGUGGCCAAAACAAAACUUGCCAAUGGCACUUCCAGUAUGAUUGUGCCCAAGCAACGGAAACUGUCUGCAAGCUAUGAGAAGGAAAAGGAACUGUGUGUCAAAUAUUUUGAGCAGUGGUCAGAGUCUGAUCAAGUGGAAUUUGUGGAACAUCUUAUAUCCCAAAUGUGUCAUUACCAACAUGGGCACAUAAACUCCUAUCUUAAACCUAUGUUGCAGAGGGAUUUCAUAACUGCUCUGCCAGCUCGGGGUUUGGAUCAUAUUGCUGAGAACAUUUUGUCGUAUCUGGAUGCCAAAUCACUAUGUGCUGCUGAACUAGUGUGCAAAGAAUGGUACCGAGUGACAUCUGAUGGCAUGUUAUGGAAGAAGCUCAUCGAGAGAAUGGUCAGGACAGAUUCUUUGUGGAGAGGCCUGGCAGAACGAAGAGGGUGGGGACAGUAUUUAUUCAAAAACAAGCCUCCUGAUGGGAAUGCUCCUCCCAACUCUUUUUAUAGAGCACUUUAUCCUAAAAUUAUACAAGACAUUGAGACAAUAGAAUCUAAUUGGAGAUGUGGAAGACAUAGUUUACAAAGAAUCCACUGUCGAAGUGAAACAAGCAAAGGAGUUUACUGUUUACAGUAUGAUGAUCAGAAAAUAGUAAGCGGCCUUCGAGACAAUACAAUCAAGAUCUGGGAUAAGAGCACAUUGGAAUGCAAGCGAAUUCUCACAGGACACACGGGUUCUGUCCUAUGUCUCCAGUAUGACGAAAGAGUGAUCAUAACUGGAUCAUCGGAUUCCACAGUCAGAGUGUGGGAUGUAAAUACAGGUGAAAUGCUGAAUACGUUGAUUCACCACUGUGAAGCAGUUCUGCACCUGCGUUUCAAUAAUGGCAUGAUGGUGACCUGCUCCAAAGAUCGUUCCAUUGCUGUGUGGGAUAUGGCCUCCCCAACAGACAUUACUCUCCGGAGGGUACUAGUUGGACACCGAGCUGCUGUCAAUGUUGUAGACUUUGAUGACAAGUACAUCGUUUCUGCAUCUGGGGAUAGAACUAUAAAGGUAUGGAACACAAGUACUUGUGAAUUUGUAAGGACCUUAAAUGGACACAAACGAGGCAUUGCCUGUUUGCAGUACAGAGACAGGCUUGUAGUGAGUGGCUCUUCUGACAACACUAUCAGGUUAUGGGACAUAGAAUGUGGUGCAUGUUUGCGAGUGUUAGAAGGCCACGAGGAAUUGGUUCGUUGUAUUCGAUUUGAUAACAAGAGGAUAGUCAGUGGGGCCUAUGAUGGGAAAAUUAAAGUAUGGGAUCUGGUGGCUGCUUUGGACCCUCGUGCUCCUGCAGGGACACUCUGUCUACGGACCCUUGUGGAGCAUUCCGGAAGAGUUUUCCGACUUCAGUUUGAUGAAUUCCAGAUUGUCAGUAGUUCACAUGAUGACACAAUUCUCAUCUGGGACUUCCUAAAUGAUCCAGCUGCACAAGCAGAACCUCCCCGCUCCCCUUCCCGAACAUACACCUAUAUCUCCAGAUAAAUAACCAUACACUGACCUCAUACUUGCCCAGGACUCAUUGAAGUUGCGGUAUUUAACAUAUCUGCCAACACCAGGAAGAGCAACAACGGUAACAACCAAACAACUACCCAGUUUCCCUGGACUAUCCUAGGAGCAGGGUUUUGAGACUCCUGUUGGAACACAGUUGGUCUGCAGUCGGCCCAGGAUGCUCUACUCAGCACGGCUGACUGCUUUAGUGCUGCUAUCAGAAGAUGUCUUCUAUCUUUCAUGAAUGAUUGGAACUUUUAAACCUCACUUCCCUUCCUCUUUUCCCCUGUGCACCUAUUUUUCCCCAUUGGUUCCAGAGAAAGAUGACUUAUAAAUAUAUUUAGUGUUUUGCCAGAAUCUCUCUUGCUUUGCCAUUAAGCAGAAGGAACUACUUUCCCUAUAUAGGCUACUGGGAGAGACCCACUUCUAGGGAAGAGGGGUAUACAUCUUCAAUGCAGACAGAGCCCAGUGUCUUCCUGUUCACUGCAGGAAUGCUCAGCACCUGGCCACAUAAGCCCAGCCCCACUAUACAUAGGAGGACGCAGAGCUGUGUGUAUAGCCUCCAGGGCAAGGAAAGAAAAUGCACACACCAGAAGUUCUGGCUUUCCUGCCUCCCUUCUGUUUCCCUGUUUCUGUCCCUCUUUCUUGCUGUCUCCCACUCUCCUAACCCGUUUCUCUGCUCCACCUGAGAAGAAGGUAUAUGAAGAGAGUGUCCUCAGUUUGCAUAGGCCAGAUCAGCUAGGAAAUGCAGCACUUGGAAGAGUUAAAUGCUAUUCAAUCAAAAUUCCAAACCCAGGCUUUUGCUGCAAUUGACCCUGUGGCAACAGUGGAUUCUUGGACGUGAUACUCUCAUCAUAUUUGUGACUCUUCUCUCUUUUCUUUCCUCCCACCCAAAGGCAGUGGGUGGGGGGAGCAGAAAUUUCCUGGGCUUCAUCAAUGGCUGCAUCUUUUCUGGACUCAGCAGUCUCCUUGAUUCCAUGUAGAGUGUGGAAAGGAGUUGCUGAUUACAUUUCCUCUCAUUAACAAUUAGGUGUGUAAUAAAAAGCAUUGUACUUCAUCUUAAAUCACUGGUAAGGCUCAACCUACAGAAAGGUUCAAAACGGCCAGAGCCAGUCGCUUGGUGCAUUCUGCAUAUAAUAGUUCCCAUCUCCAGUUUCCUCAGCAGGGACUGUGUAUACCCAGGUAUUACCAAGACCCUAAUCAGAGUAAUUUAAGAGAUGGUCAGAAGUAAAAACUGAUUUUUUCAUUUACGCCAGUAAAUAUCAUCUUUCAAACAUUAAUCUAACCAUCUCAUGCUUGCACCACAGAACCUUCCCUCUGUUUCAUCCUUAGCUGGAAUGUGCAAAAGGGCAAAGCUGUCUGAGAGAGAGGAUCAGGGUGAAGUUUGGCAGACAGGGUUUAUUAAUGGGCAGAAACUGCCUUCUCUUUGUUUUCCCUCCUGGCCUUAUUUUGCUCUUUACUUUUCCCCAGCCAAUAAAAAUUUCUCUAGCAGUUGGUAAACAACAUAAACAAAUGGACCGGGUGGUGCCUGUGGCUCAAGGAGUAGGGUGCCAGUCCCAUAUGCUGGAGGUGGUGGGUUCUAACCCAGGCCCAGCCAAAAAAAAAAACAAAAACAAACGGACCUCAGCAAGGGCCAGGUUAACCUGGCCACUUAGAAGGCAGCUGUAUGGGCUUCCAAGCAAGCAGGCUUCAGGUGCAAGGGCACUUGUGCCAUACUGACCUGAGAACACAGGAAAUACUAUUAAUGUGCCCCCAUCUUGUUUCCCCAGUAUGCAUGGGUCUGCAUAAGCCAUCUGGGGUAGCAUAGGCAGGCCUGGCCAAAGCCCUGAGGCCACAGCACAGUCUCAUUUUCGUUGGAAACUGAAUAGUCAGGCCCAUUGUUUUCAUUCCUGAUCAAAGCAGUUGAGGGCAAGGAAGCCACUGUUUAACCAGCUGCUAUAAAAACAGCAAAGUGAGAGCCAGUUGCAAGUGACCUAAAGCCAGGCCACCAUUAGCUCAGCAAGAGGGGACCAGGGAGCCCCUUCACUCUUACUCUGUUUUGCAACAAGGUAUCCUCUUCCCAUUAUGUAUCCAGACUGAAUGUUGUUACUACAUAUGGAGAAGCAGGUUAUGCAUAUGCAUUUCACUUUUCCUUUUUCCUACUAAAUAUUUUUAAGGUUUUAGUUCCAGGUUAUGUUUAGAAAAUAUUUUCCUGUGUCGUGAUACUUUGUUGCCUGAGAAAUAUUUUCAGUAUAAUUCCCUUACUAGCUAUCCAAAUAUUACAGAGAAAUGUUUUCUACUAGCCACUGUCAGGAUUCCUCAUCUGUUGUGGAGGACUAUUAGUGGCUUUUCGAUUGGCUAAGCAUUUUGUUACAGAUGAAGGUAGAGGGCUGUCCGCCCUGAAAAAUACACAGGUCAGACAUCACAGAGGCAUGAGUUUCAAGCUGUGUCAAAAUAUUGUCCAAUAGCCAUAACUUUACUAGCCCUUUUCCUAUAUGCUGCUAUUCAAAAGUGGGAGCUGUUGAAUAUUCAUUAGUGCCUGGGGUUUUGUUCUCCUAUCUAGGUUCUGUUGAAGGUAUAUUGUUGCUGAGACCAUUUUGAAACUUGUCCAGUACUUAAUAGAUGAGAGCAAGGGUAGACCCUGCAGAUGUGGCUCCAUUAGCUCAGUUGAGGAUAUUCUCCUGGUUGUCCUCUCUGCGGCUGUUGGAAAUAGGAAUGAAGUUAAGUGGUCUGAAAAACUUGAAUCAUUCACAUUUCUCAGCUCUGGGGGUCAUUUACCAGUUCAUUGUAAAGGAAUAAUCAGGUAAGUAGAAGUUCAUUUCCAGAGAAGGUAAACCCCACUUACCAUCUCUGCAUGAUUUCAGUGGGAAUUGAUUAUUACUAAUCCCCAACUGGGCUAGAAUAAAUGUAAAGUUUGACCUUUUUAAAAAGAAAAGAGAAACAAAGAAAGUCUCAACACAUUUAAAGUAAUGGAGAAAAGGAGCUGAAGGUGCCCCUCAGCUCUGAAAUGAAAUGUCCCCACUGUAGAUUAGUUUCUCUUCAUUAAAAUUCACUUCUCAAUGUUAGGGCCUGAAAGAAACCUUUCUUAAAAAAGGCUGAGACCCCUUCACAAGGGUUGAGAAGGAUAGUGCAUGCACCUACACCUGUCGCAGACACAUGUGACCUCUUGGUUCACGCUGGGGCAGCUUGAAGAAGACCAGUGUGCCUUGCUGCACGUGUAGGUAUUUCACUGCUGAAAACAUCUUUUUACUUUCUGUGCAAUUUGAAAGUGGAUAUGAAUUAUGGGUGGGGGGGGCCUUUUUUACACUUGGUCCCUUGGCAAAAUUCUUUAUGGUGUCUCCUUCAAAAACAGAGAUUCUCUUUAAAACUCUAUUGACAAGUAAUAAAGUCUGGCCCCCAGAGCUUGUUUCUGAACUGAGAAAGACCCUGACACCCUUAAAUCAUUCUGUUUUUGCUUGAGUAAGAACAAUCAUUGUUUUCUUUUGUACAAUCUAAAGCAGGAAAAACAAUGCACUCUUCCUUUGCCAACUUCUAGUACCAUUCAUUGGUCUGAACCCGUGGUUGAUCUGCUCUUUAGCACUGGAUUAUGUGGGUGGAGGGCUUGGGGUAGGGGCUAUGAGAAACAUUGGAAAUAAUGAAGGCUGCUUUCGUUUUUCUUUCCUAGAAUUGGAUUAGAUACCUUGAUAUUGUUGACCUUCUUAACAUCUUCCUUUUGCCUUAGAUGUCAAUACCCUCCGGCCUGAAGUGGAACAGUCCAACCUAGACUAGUGCAGCCUUGAGGGCUAGGCUGCAAGCCUGAUUCUAGAGUAAUCCAACGUACUUAUAGGGAGAAAAUGGUAUGCUUAGCUACUCACCUCCUGUGACCAUCACAUUCUCUGAUGAGUACCAUAUCUCUUUAAUUCACAUUUUAGAUCUCCUUUCCCAUUUGGAUUUCAGCAGACUUUCAAGUGCACCCAGAGACCACAGCCUGAGUUAAUCUCCAUGGGCUUUAUCCACACAGCUAAUAACUGACAGACCAGACCCUUUACUUUAACCACAAUCUCAACCUUAUUCUAGAAAGAUAGCCAACUCUUAAGGGAAUAAGUCUGCUCAUUGUUACCUUUACCUGUAGUUCAUUUGUGACGUCAGAAUCCUUGGAGCUGAGGAGAUAAAUCAAAAGUGCAUGAAUAUAGUUGCCCAAUUUCAGAUGGAACUUACUGCAUUGAUACCUAAAAUACUCUUCUGUUGGACAUUGGGUACCUAUGAUCUGAAAUUUCCUGGAGGCAAAUGACAUCUGAAAUGUGUGCUUUCUGACCAGUCCAGCUGGCUCUCUUAGCUCCUGAUUGGCUAUAUGUGUGUUUUAUUAAGGAUCAGUGCAGUAAAUGGCAUUCUAAAAGUGUUAUUUUCUCUCCUAACCCUUCCCCUUCUUAGACACUGAAGAGAAAGACCAACUAGGAGGUUAGAACUUUGGGUACCAAAGAAAAAUCUUUCCAAGUCAGUGAUCACUUAAACCCAACUCAGACUGAUCUGAGAGGUGGUCUGUGGACUUCAGCUGUGGAAACAGGCCUGGCAACAAUUGCGAGCUUCCCUGAGAGCUUUCGGUUGGUUCAGUUCUUUGUUCUCUAGAUUCUUAAGUACUGACUGCUUUGACCUUUGUGAUUAUUAUGUUAUGGUGAUGUGUAGUCAAUGUACCAAUCUGUUCACAACCUAGGAUCAUGGUAAUAGAAUGUGUUUUGGUUUUUUAACUGUUCAGAAAAAAAGUAACUUAAAUUACAAAUAUAAGAUUAAAGUGAAUAUU